rnacentral:rRNA from 1 species
CGGCAGACGGGUGAGUAACGCGUGGGAACAUACCUCUUGGUUCGGAACAACACAGGGAAACUUGUGCUAAUACCGGAUAAGCCCUUACGGGGAAAGAUUUAUCGCCGAAAGAUUGGCCCGCGUCUGAUUAGCUAGUUGGUGAGGUAACGGCUCACCAAGGCGACGAUCAGUAGCUGGUCUGAGGGGAUGAUCAGCCACAUUGGGACUGAGACACGGCCCAA